rnacentral:rRNA from 1 species
CACCGAAGCUACGGGUAUCACCUUUGGUGAUGCGGUAGAGGAGCGUUCUGUAAGCCUGUGAAGGUGAGUUGAGAAGCUUGCUGGAGGUAUCAGAAGUGCGAAUGCUGACAUGAGUAACGACAAUGGGUGUGAAAAACACCCACGCCGAAAGACCAAGGUUUCCUGCGCAACGUUAAUCGACGCAGGGUUAGUCGGUCCCUAAGGCGAGGCUGAAAAGCGUAGUCGAUGGAAAACAGGUUAAUAUUCCUGUACUUCUGGUUAUUGCGAUGGAGGGACGGAGAAGGCUAGGCCAGCCUGGCGUUGGUUGUCCAGGUUUAAGGUGGUAGGCUGAGAUCUUAGGUAAAUCCGGGGUCUCAAGGCCGAGAGCUGAUGACGAGUGUUCCUUUGGAACACGAAGUGGUUGAUGCCAUGCUUCCAAGAAAAGCUUCUAAGCUUCAGGUAACCAGGAACCGUACCCCAAACCGACACAGGUGGUUGGGUAGAGAAUACCAAGGCGCUUGAGAGAACUCGGGUGAAGGAACUAGGCAAAAUGGCACCGUAACUUCGGGAGAAGGUGCGCCGGUGAGGGUGAAGCAUUUACUGCGUAAGCCCACGCCGGUCGAAGAUACCAGGCCGCUGCGACUGUUUAUUAAAAACACAGCACUCUGCAAACACGAAAGUGGACGUAUAGGGUGUGACGCCUGCCCGGUGCCGGAAGGUUAAUUGAUGGGGUUAGCGCAAGCGAAGCUCUUGAUCGAAGCCCCGGUAAACGGCGGCCGUAACUAUAACGGUCCUAAGGUAGCGAAAUUCCUUGUCGGGUAAGUUCCGACCUGCACGAAUGGCGUAACGAUGGCGGCGCUGUCUCCACCCGAGACUCAGUGAAAUUGAAAUCGCUGUGAAGAUGCAGUGUAUCCGCGGCUAGACGGAAAGACCCCGUGAACCUUUACUAUAGCUUUGCACUGGACUUUGAAUUUGCUUGUGUAGGAUAGGUGGGAGGCUUUGAAGCGUGGACGCCAGUCUGCGUGGAGCCAACCUUGAAAUACCACCCUGGCAACUUUGAGGUUCUAACUCAGGUCCGUUAUCCGGAUCGAGGACAGUGUAUGGUGGGUAGUUUGACUGGGGCGGUCUCCUCCUAAAGAGUAACGGAGGAGUACGAAGGUGCGCUCAGACCGGUCGGAAAUCGGUCGUAGAGUAUAAAGGCAAAAGCGCGCUUGACUGCGAGACAGACACGUCGAGCAGGUACGAAAGUAGGUCUUAGUGAUCCGGUGGUUCUGUAUGGAAGGGCCAUCGCUCAACGGAUAAAAGGUACUCCGGGGAUAACAGGCUGAUACCGCCCAAGAGUUCAUAUCGACGGCGGUGUUUGGCACCUCGAUGUCGGCUCAUCACAUCCUGGGGCUGAAGCCGGUCCCAAGGGUAUGGCUGUUCGCCAUUUAAAGUGGUACGCGAGCUGGGUUUAGAACGUCGUGAGACAGUUCGGUCCCUAUCUGCCGUGGACGUUUGAGAUUUGAGAGGGGCUGCUCCUAGUACGAGAGGACCGGAGUGGACGAACCUCUGGUGUUCCGGUUGUCACGCCAGUGGCAUUGCCGGGUAGCUAUGUUCGGAAAAGAUAACCGCUGAAAGCAUCUAAGCGGGAAACUUGCCUCAAGAUGAGAUCUCACUGGAACCUUGA